rnacentral:rRNA from 1 species
UACAUGAAGCUGGAAUCGCUAGUAAUCGCGGAUCAGAAUGCCGCGGUGAAUACGUUCCCGGGUCUUGUACACACCGCCCGUCACACCAUGGGAGUCGGAAAUGCCCGAAGUCUGUGACCCAACCUUAGGGAGGGAGCAGCCGAAGGCAGGUCGGAUGACUGGGGUGAAGUCGUAACAAGGUAAC